GACGAACGCUGGCGGCGUGCCUAAUACAUGCAAGUUGAGCGAUGAAGAUUGGUGCUUGCACCUAUUUGAAGAGCAGCGAACGGGUGAGUAACGCGUGGGGAAUCUGCCUUUGAGCGGGGGACAACAUUUGGAAACGAAUGCUAAUACCGCAUAAUAACUUUAAACAUAAGUUUUAAGUUUGAAAGAUGCAAUUGCAUCACUCAAAGAUGAUCCCGCGUUGUAUUAGCUAGUUGGUGAGGUAAAGGCUCACCAAGGCGAUGAUACAUAGCCGACCUGAGAGGGUGAUCGGCCACAUUGGGACUGAGACACGGCCCAAACUCCUACGGGAGGCAGCAGUAGGGAAUCUUCGGCAAUGGACGAAAGUCUGACCGAGCAACGCCGCGUGAGUGAAGAAGGUUUUCGGAUCGUAAAACUCUGUUGGUAGAGAAGAACGUUGGUGAGAGUGGAAAGCUCAUCAAGUGACGGUAACUACCCAGAAAGGGACGGCUAACUACGU
rnacentral:rRNA from 1 species